AUGCCUUAAUAUAACCAUAUUUUAUAAAUUUACUCAAAAAGAUUUUAAAAAGUAUUAGUUUGCCAUUUUAUGAUUUUCAACAAUUUAAUGUAUGAAUUUAUAAAGUGUUAUUCAUCUAAAAAAAGAAAAACUAAAACUCAAACAAAAAUAUAAACUUCAAAAUGUGCUCAUCAUUACUCUAUUGCUUGGAUCUACUCACAAGAAUUCUAAAAAGUAUUUAUUUUCUAUUUUUUGAAUUUUAUACAUAAAAUUUAGCUAAAACUCUCUCUCUCUCUUGCCCUAUGAACCCUAACCCUAAGUAAGAAUGCAUGAUGAACCCUAGAUCUAGAGCACCUCCAAUACAAGAAUAGAACCAAAGAAUUACUAAAAAAAUAACAUCAAGGACACUAACUAACCUUUGGAAAGUUUCUCACCAAAGAAAUGAAGAUCAAAACCUCCCAUUUGAAACUAUUCUUGUCUCGUCGGCUACCGUGCAUAGCUCACGGGAGUAACUAUUCUUGUCUCG
rnacentral:lncRNA from 1 species